UUUUCUAAUUCCUCCAACCCCAAACCCCUGCUUGUGUAUUAAAUCUCAAGAGCACUGAAGAAAAGAAUGUUUUUGAACCUAGAUUCUGUAUCUCAUGGAUGAUAUAUAUAUCUAACAGGAAGUCCAUUUGAAUUUUAAGAACGUUUUUGAGCCUAGAUUCUGUAUCUCAUAGAUGAUAUAUAUAUCUAACAGGAAGUCCAUUUGAAUUUUAAAUCUCUCAACUACGCAGCUAUACAACAUUGCACUCUCUUUCUUUCCUUAUGUUUAUACGUUUUUCUUCAUUUUUAUCACGCAGCUGG
rnacentral:lncRNA from 1 species